GGACUACACGGGUAUCUAAUCCUGUUCGCUACCCACGCUUUCGUCCAUCAGCGUCAAUCCACCGGUAGUAACCUGCCUUCGCAAUUGGUAUUCCAUGUAAUCUCUAAGCAUUUCACCGCUACACUACAUAUUCUAGUUACUUCCCAGUAAUUCAAGUUUGACAGUAUCAAUGGCCGUUCCACCGUUGAGCGAUGGGCUUUCACCACUGACUUAUCAAACCGCCUACGGACCCUUUAAACCCAAUGAUUCCGGAUAACGCUUGGAUCCUCCGUAUUACCGCGGCUGCUGGCAC
rnacentral:rRNA from 1 species